rnacentral:rRNA from 1 species
AGUGAACGCUGGCGGUAGGCCUAACACAUGCAAGUCGAACGGCAGCACAGUAAGAGCUUGCUCUUACGGGUGGCGAGUGGCGGACGGGUGAGGAAUACAUCGGAAUCUACUUUUUCGUGGGGGAUAACGUAGGGAAACUUACGCUAAUACCGCAUACGACCUACGGGUGAAAGCAGGGGAUCUUCGGACCUUGCGCGAUUGAAUGAGCCGAUGUCGGAUUAGCUAGUUGGCGGGGUAAAGGCCCACCAAGGCGACGAUCCGUAGCUGGUCUGAGAGGAUGAUCAGCCACACUGGAACUGAGACACGGUCCAGACUCCUACGGGAGGCAGCAGUGGGGAAUAUUGGACAAUGGGCGCAGGCCUGAUCCAGCCAUACCGCGUGGGUGAAGAAGGCCUUCGGGUUGUAAAGCCCUUUUGUUGGGAAAGAAAAGCAGCAGGUUAAUACCCCGCUGUUCUGACGUUACCCAAAGAAUAAGCACCGGCUAACUUCGUG